rnacentral:lncRNA from 1 species
GCUGCGGGGCUGCAAUGGCGGCCUGAAGGACGUCGAGAAGCUAGCAAUAUCAAGGGCGGCCACGGGUUCGCCGGAGCAUCCCAAGAAGCGCAAGAGAGGCACCGGUGGGCGGUGCGAGGGCGCAACUGCGUCUUCGACGAGGAGGAGCGACUGGAGGGUGGAGGCCGUCAUGCUGGCUCUGCGCCACGUGCGCUCCGAGGAGGUCGACCCCGACGACCCCGGCGCGCCGUACUCGAAGGUGAGAGUUCUUUCCACUCGCCGCGGUUUUUUUUUUCCUUCGACGCGUUCGAGUUCUUGGGAUUUGCGUAGAAGAGGAUCGCCUGGUGAUUAAUCGGUUUCGCAUCAAAGAUUGGCGGUGUUUUAGGUUCACCUCAAGAAAGGUUCGCGGCGCUUAGAAUGGGGAAUUUCGCCAUUGCAGUAUCUCUGACUUGCCACCAUUGCAUGCUCCUGUGUUGUUAGGACUCAGGACGCAGAAUUAAUAGCUGUCUCUAUACUCCUAUGCGUCUAGCUUCGUAAAGCUGUAUCUUCAGUGCGAGAUUUGCGGUUGUUUGGAACUUUGGAUGGAAAUUGGUUAGUCCGCAUCUUCCAUUUCUUGUGUCAGAUUGGUUAGUCUGCGUUUUCCAUUUCUUGUGUCAGAUUCUGUGUCUGAAUAGGACACGGCAUUGCUAGCAGGGCCAAAGAUUCGUCUAGUUAAUGUUGGAAUUAGAGUGCCUCUUACCAUUUAUACUUGUUAAUUCUGUUAAUGUUUGAUCUGAUUGAGGCUGAUUCUUGGGGCUUGCUUAUAAUGAUCGAAUGGAGUGUGCUGUUAUUAAUUUUCCAUGUUAUUAUGAUGGAAUCUUCAUGGUUCUCAUGUCAAGAUUAUGUUACAAUGAUGUGAGUUGUUUUUAUCAGAUGAAGUUGAGUGGAGGCUGUGGUGAUUAGUGUCUGUUAAGGAUAGUGUUAAAUUGUAGCCAUGUGUUAUCAACUUCUGCACUUGUGCCCUGUCAUUAAUGCUGUUUCACCGUUACCUUGGUUGAGAUUUCUAUUGGUGUCGUUAAUGUUAUUUCGCUAUUUCCUUGAUUGAGAUUUCUGAUCGCGUCACAUGAUAAUAUGAUAAUGAUUCAUUGUUAGUUUUAUUGCCACCCUCAUUGCCAAUGUUGCAAUUGGACAGGAUAUAUAGUGACAUUGUAGGAGGAAAAGCUUGUGCUUAGUUAUGUUAUGGCAGGAUUUCAUUGGUUAUGUAGAAACAUUGUUCCUUUAUGGUUUAUUUCUAUCGUUUAUCUUGUGUCUUUAUCAGAUGUUUAUGUAAUUAUGAACACAAAGAAUACAAAGGGCCGUGGCUGCGUGGGAAAUUAUAUUAUCUUCUGUUAACUCUAUUCUUAUCUCAGUCAAAUUUUGUUGUAGUCAGUUUAGCAGAAUUAUUAGGAAUUUGGCAGGUCAAUGUGCACACAUUCAUUCUGACAUUAGCAAUACAUGCAUAAAAAACAGAUGAUUCAACACAAGGCAAUUGCUUGCCUACCCCCCUUUUAGAUGUUAGUUCAUAAGAAUUUAUUUAUGGUUAUGCUUCAGGAAAUAAGGUAUCAUAGCUGUGGACAUGCGCUCGUAAGGUCAUGCAGGGGUAGAUUGAUCGUUAGGUGCUAAAUUGUCAUAAACAGUUGUAUCAUGGAUCUGAUUUCCCAGUUCUGCUGACUGGUUGGUAGAAUUUGUGUGUGAAUUUUUAUCAUUAGACUGAAACAUUUUGUGCUCAUCUUUGCUGUCAAAGAAAAUGAUACAAUGCCAGUCCUGCUGCCGAGCGCAGUCUUGAUAAAUAGCUGUUGUUAUCACUGCUUGGUACCUUCCUUUUCUCAUCUAUGAGAUGUAUCAUUUGCGAGCAGGAGUUUUGCUCAAGUUGUAUCUAAUACACUUCUGCAUGCUAACAGAAAUAGAAAAGACUUCACCAACUAGUCGCAUUGAGUUCAGCUGAUGAAGGUAACAAAUGAUGACAACAAUGAGCACCACUCUAAGGAGUAAGGGCUCAGGAACUUCUUCCCAAAGGUAGCAAUAUCACGUGAUCCUUUGAAAACUAUGUUACCAUUUUCGCAGUUUUUUUUUACUAAAGAGCAAGCGACCUUAAUGUAUGAUUUGGGUGUAUAUCAACCGUGUUCAUUGGGUUUUCCAUAAUGAUAGUUCUGUAUUUUGCACCUGUAAAUUUUCAAACAGAGAUGGUUCCCUUGCAAAUGGUUACUAUAUUAGAAGCUGUCAGAGGGUCCUUGUCAAUUAAAUAUAGUUCCCUGAAAAACAAAAAAAUGGCUUUAUAACUGGAUGAAAUCAGGCUAUUGCUUUCUAUAAUGCUAAACCCACAUCAUACUACAGUUGAUACUUAUAAAGCAGAAUGAGAAGUUCAAAUUUGUCUGUUAAUCCCCUCAAAACUAAGUUACAAUUCAACAGUUCGCUACCUGUCUUGGAAAAUUGCUUCGGUAGUUUAUGAAUCCUGUCUGUGUGCAUAAAGAUUGGUUGGUAUGGUGUGACAGUUUUUUAACUGCAAGUCGAGUAUGUCUUUGAUCUUUGCUAGUGUGAUAAUUUCGUUCAGCUUUCUUUGACAGGUCCAGGAAGAAGGAGAAUUGACAGCUUUCUGCGGAGGUAGAGGAAGAAAUACCUUAAUUGCCCGGACAACCGUUCAGUUCAUUCUUUUUGCUGGUUACAUAUCUGACUGUACAGCUGGAGUAGAAAAAACUUUCACUAUUGCACCGUUUAAAAGUGAAUGAUUCUUAGGUAUCGUACUGAAAUCAGGUAGCAGUGAGUAAUUGCUGG